rnacentral:rRNA from 1 species
GGUUAAGCGACUAAGCGUACACGGUGGAUGCCCUGGCAGUCAGAGGCGAUGAAGGACGUGCUAAUCUGCGAUAAGCGUCGGUAAGGUGAUAUGAACCGUUAUAACCGGCGAUUUCCGAAUGGGGAAACCCAGUGUGAUUCGUCACACUAUCAUUAACUGAAUCCAUAGGUUAAUGAGGCGAACCGGGGGAACUGAAACAUCUAAGUACCCCGAGGAAAAGAAAUCAACCGAGAUUCCCCCAGUAGCGGCGAGCGAACGGGGAGAGCCCAGAGCCUGAAUCAGUGUGUGUGUUAGUGGAAGCGUCUGGAAAGGCGCGCGAUACAGGGUGACAGCCCCGUACAGCCCAGAGCCUGAAUCAGUGUGUGUGUUAGUGGAAGCGUCUGGAAAGGCGCGCGAUACAGGGUGACAGCCCCGUACACAAAAAUGCACAUACUGUGAGCUCGAUGAGUAGGGCGGGACACGUGGUAUCCUGUCUGAAUAUGGGGGGACCAUCCUCCAAGGCUAAAUACUCCUGACUGACCGAUAGUGAACCAGUACCGUGAGGGAAAGGCGAAAAGAACCCCGGCGAGGGGAGUGAAAAAGAACCUGAAACCGUGUACGUACAAGCAGUGGGAGCACGCUUCGGCGUGUGACUGCGUACCUUUUGUAUAAUGGGUCAGCGACUUAUAUUCUGUAGCAAGGUUAACCGAAUAGGGGAGCCGAAGGGAAACCGAGUCUUAACUGGGCGUUAAGUUGCAGGGUAUAGACCCGAAACCCGGUGAUCUAGCCAUGGGCAGGUUGAAGGUUGGGUAACACUAACUGGAGGACCGAACCGACUAAUGUUGAAAAAUUAGCGGAUGACUUGUGGCUGGGGGUGAAAGGCCAAUCAAACCGGGAGAUAGCUGGUUCUCCCCGAAAGCUAUUUAGGUAGCGCCUCGUGAAUUCAUCUCCGGGGGUAGAGCACUGUUUCGGCAAGGGGGUCAUCCCGACUUACCAACCCGAUGCAAACUGCGAAUACCGGAGAAUGUUAUCACGGGAGACACACGGCGGGUGCUAACGUCCGUCGUGAAGAGGGAAACAACCCAGACCGCCAGCUAAGGUCCCAAAGUCAUGGUUAAGUGGGAAACGAUGUGGGAAGGCCCAGACAGCCAGGAUGUUGGCUUAGAAGCAGCCAUCAUUUAAAGAAAGCGUAAUAGCUCACUGGUCGAGUCGGCCUGCGCGGAAGAUGUAACGGGGCUAAACCAUGCACCGAAGCUGCGGCAGCGACACUAUGUGUUGUUGGGUAGGGGAGCGUUCUGUAAGCCUGUGAAGGUGUACUGUGAGGUAUGCUGGAGGUAUCAGAAGUGCGAAUGCUGACAUAAGUAACGAUAAAGCGGGUGAAAAGCCCGCUCGCCGGAAGACCAAGGGUUCCUGUCCAACGUUAAUCGGGGCAGGGUGAGUCGACCCCUAAGGCGAGGCCGAAAGGCGUAGUCGAUGGGAAACAGGUUAAUAUUCCUGUACUUGGUGUUACUGCGAAGGGGGGACGGAGAAGGCUAUGUUGGCCGGGCGACGGUUGUCCCGGUUUAAGCGUGUAGGCUGGUUUUCCAGGCAAAUCCGGAAAAUCAAGGCUGAGGCGUGAUGACGAGGCACUACGGUGCUGAAGCAACAAAUGCCCUGCUUCCAGGAAAAGCCUCUAAGCAUCAGGUAACAUCAAAUCGUACCCCAAACCGACACAGGUGGUCAGGUAGAGAAUACCAAGGCGCUUGAGAGAACUCGGGUGAAGGAACUAGGCAAAAUGGUGCCGUAACUUCGGGAGAAGGCACGCUGAUAUGUAGGUGAAGCGACUUGCUCGUGGAGCUGAAAUCAGUCGAAGAUACCAGCUGGCUGCAACUGUUUAUUAAAAACACAGCACUGUGCAAACACGAAAGUGGACGUAUACGGUGUGACGCCUGCCCGGUGCCGGAAGGUUAAUUGAUGGGGUUAGCGCAAGCGAAGCUCUUGAUCGAAGCCCCGGUAAACGGCGGCCGUAACUAUAACGGUCCUAAGGUAGCGAAAUUCCUUGUCGGGUAAGUUCCGACCUGCACGAAUGGCGUAAUGAUGGCCAGGCUGUCUCCACCCGAGACUCAGUGAAAUUGAACUCGCUGUGAAGAUGCAGUGUACCCGCGGCAAGACGGAAAGACCCCGUGAACCUUUACUAUAGCUUGACACUGAACAUUGAGCCUUGAUGUGUAGGAUAGGUGGGAGGCUUUGAAGUGUGGACGCCAGUCUGCAUGGAGCCGACCUUGAAAUACCACCCUUUAAUGUUUGAUGUUCUAACGUUGGCCCGUUAUCCGGGUUGCGGACAGUGUCUGGUGGGUAGUUUGACUGGGGCGGUCUCCUCCUAAAGAGUAACGGAGGAGCACGAAGGUUGGCUAAUCCUGGUCGGACAUCAGGAGGUUAGUGCAAUGGCAUAAGCCAGCUUGACUGCGAGCGUGACGGCGCGAGCAGGUGCGAAAGCAGGUCAUAGUGAUCCGGUGGUUCUGAAUGGAAGGGCCAUCGCUCAACGGAUAAAAGGUACUCCGGGGAUAACAGGCUGAUACCGCCCAAGAGUUCAUAUCGACGGCGGUGUUUGGCACCUCGAUGUCGGCUCAUCACAUCCUGGGGCUGAAGUAGGUCCCAAGGGUAUGGCUGUUCGCCAUUUAAAGUGGUACGCGAGCUGGGUUUAGAACGUCGUGAGACAGUUCGGUCCCUAUCUGCCGUGGGCGCUGGAGAACUGAGGGGGGCUGCUCCUAGUACGAGAGGACCGGAGUGGACGCAUCACUGGUGUUCGGGUUGUCAUGCCAAUGGCACUGCCCGGUAGCUAAAUGCGGAAGAGAUAAGUGCUGAAAGCAUCUAAGCACGAAACUUGCCCCGAGAUGAGUUCUCCCUGACUCCCUGAGAGUCCUGAAGGAACGUUGAAGACGACGACGUUGAUAGGCCGGGUGUGUAAGCGCAGCGAUGCGUUGAGCUAACCGGUACUAAUGAACCGUGAGGCUUAACCUU